AACAAGUAUGAAAGGAGAAAAUGUUAGCAUUCCCCUUGAUAAGGAUGGAAGGGGUCCUAGUGGCCUUAUGACACGCAAUGGUUAAGGCAUUGCCAUUUACUUAGUAGCAUUUAACCAUGUUUU